UCGGGAAUUUUGGGCAAUGGGCGAAAGCCUGACCCAGCAACGCCGCGUGAAGGAUGAAGUAUUUCGGUAUGUAAACUUCGUAAGAAUAGGAAGAAUAAAUGACGGUACUAUUUGUAAGGUCCGGCUAACUACGUGCCAGCAGCCGCGGUAAUACGAAGGGAGCUAGCGUUGUUCGGAAUCACUGGGCGUAAAGCGCACGUAGGCGGAUUGUUUAGUCAGGGGUGAAAUCCCGGAGCUCAACUUCGGAACUGCCUUUGAUACUGGCAAUCUCGAGUCCGAUAGAGGUGGGUGGAAUUCCUAGUGUAGAGGUGAAAUUCGUAGAUAUUAGGAAGAACACCGGUGGCGAAGGCGGCCCACUGGAUCGGUACUGACGCUGAGGUGCGAAAGCGUGGGGAGCAAACAGGAUUAGAUACCCAAGUAGUCCCUGAGCGGGCUGGCAAGGCGCAU
rnacentral:rRNA from 1 species